GACGAACGCUGGCGGCGUGCCUAAUACAUGCAAGUCGAACGCAGUGGGGACGGUUGCGUAACACGUGGGUAACCUCCCAUCAGAGGGGAUAACACUUGGAAACUGGUGCUAAACCCAUACUGGUGGAUGGACCCGCGGUGCAUUCGCUAGUUGGUGAGGUAACGGCUCACCAAGGCCACGAUGCAUAGCCGACCGGAGAGGGUGACCGGCCACACUGGGACUGAGACACGGCCCAGACUCCUACGGGAGGCAGCAGUAGGGAAUAUUCGGCAAUGGACGAAAGUCUGACCGAGCAACGCCGCGUGAGUGAAGAAGGUUUUCGGAUCGUAAAGCUCUGUUGUUAGAGAAGCGGUAUCUAAACAGAAAGCCACGGCUAACUACGUGCCAGCAGCCGCGGUAAUAC
rnacentral:rRNA from 1 species